GAGACCCGAGGCCCGGAGAAGCGCCGCGACCCGCCCGCCGUCACGCACGGCCCGCACGUGGCGGGGCCGGGAUUCGAACCCCAGACCCCCGACUCCCGGGCUCCUCCCGCUCGGCCUCGCCGCUGCUCGGCUUUUAACGCAACCGGCUUUCCGCGUGGUGAAGAUCGUGGCCGUGACGGUCUCGACCGAGCGCUUGCCGUAACGACCACGACAACCGCGGCGUUCGGAAAGCUCUGGCCGCGGGCCGGGCGCCGCGCCGAGCGCCGGGGCGGAUCCGAGCGAGUCGGGUCGGCCGCCGGUCACGGUCUCCGCGGCCGAGGUCCCGCGGCGGACGCCGUUCUCAGCGCCGCGUCCCGUUCCGAUCCCCAUUUUAGAAAGGAGGGACCCGGGGCGCGGAGAGGUGACUCAUCCGAGGGCUCCCGGCGGACGGGUGGCGGAGCCCGGGCCCCGCGCGCCACGUCGCGCUUUCGGCGUCGAGGCUCUCCCCCGUGCCCCUUCUGGCGGCCCGCCGGCCCCUCGCCCUCCCGGCUCUCGGCCUCGCGACCCAUUCCCGCUCCCCGGGAGAGGCGGAACCGACGGGGAAGGCCCGCUCCGGCGGCCCGGGCGGCCCGAGGCCCCGGGUUCCGACCCGGACGUCCAAUCCUCGCUUCUCCGGCCCUCGGUCACCUCCACCCGACUCCCCCGUAUCUAGUACAGCGCCUGGCCCGCAGGGACGGCUUGCCAAAUUACCGCUGUUAUCGUUAUCAUCGGUUCCCGGGAGGGGCGCGGGCGGAACCCGCCCCUCGACCCACCCCGUCGACCCUCCGGGGCCGAGGGCCGAGCGCCUCGUCCGGGGCUUCGCGUCCCUCCCGCGACGCGCCCUCGUCGGAGCGGAUGCUGGGCGAAGGGGCAGCGGGGCGGUCCAUCGAUCCUACCUGCCGAGCGCUUACCGCGGGCAGGGCGGUGAACCGGACGCCAGGACCGACGAGGUCGCCGCCCGUUCGGCGUCGCGGGGGUCGGAGGCGCCUCUCCUUCUACCUCCGGGAGGCCGCCGGGUUUCUUUUCACCCAGGUCGGGCGGCGUCCCCCCGCCUCCCCGGAGACCGGUGAAUUCCCGGUUCCCGGACGCCUGCCCCCGGCCGGCCCCCUCCCGGCUCCGCUCUUACGGAAUUCUCCCGCUCCCUCGGAAUCCCCGGGCGCGAGGAGCGGAGGGGCCCCGGGGGAUUUCCGAAGCGGGAGGCGGCGGGAGGCCCGGGGGAGGCCGGAUGGACAAGGGCCGAGGCCGGGGGGAAGGAAGACGGUUCCGUGGGCCGGGCUCCCCCGGUUCAGGUUCGCCCUCGCCGCCCCCGUCCGGACGGAGACGGGGUCGCGCCGCCCGUCGUGGGCGGGCGGGAGCUGGAGGACGACGCCCUCCGUAUUGGAGGGCCGCGGCGCCCCCGGCCGCCCCCUUCCCGGCCGACGGGCGCCCGUCGGUAACCGCCCCUUCGCUUGCUCUUUUCCUUUUCUGCCGUGCAGAACGGAAUCCCAGAGGGCCGGCCCGUGGGGUGGCGAACCUCCCGGGACCCGGCGCCGGCUCCCCCUCGCUCCAGUUCCGCCCCACCCCUCGGCGCCGCUAAAAUCGAUCGACGGGCGGUCUUUACCGGGACCGGCGAACGACACCCGCACGGGGGUCGCGAAAUAA
rnacentral:lncRNA from 1 species